UACGUAGGUGGCGAGCGUUGUCCGGAAUUACUGGGUGUAAAGGGCGUGUAGGCGGGCAAUUAAGUCAGAUGUGAAAUUCCGGGGCUCAACCCCGGCGCUGCAUCUGAAACUGAAUGUCUUGAGUGCUGGAGAGGAAAGCGGAAUUCCUAGUGUAGCGGUGAAAUGCGUAGAUAUUAGGAGGAACACCAGUGGCGAAGGCGGCCUUCUGGACAGUAACUGACGCUGAGGCGCGAAAGCGUGGGGAGCAAACAGG
rnacentral:rRNA from 1 species